AUUGAACGCUGGCGGCAUGCCUUACACAUGCAAGUCGAACGGCAGCACGGACCUCGGUCUGGUGGCGAGUGGCGAACGGGUGAGUAAUGCAUCGGAACGUGCCAUUGAGGGGGGGAUAACGUAGCGAAAGUUGCGCUAAUACCGCAUAUUCUGUGAGCAGGAAAGCAGGGGACCGCAAGGCCUCGCGCUCUUUGAGCGGCCGAUGUCAGAUUAGCUAGUUGGUGAGGUAAAGGCUUACCAAGGCGACGAUCUGUAGUGGGUCUGAGAGGAUGAUCCGCCACACUGGAACUGAGACACGGUCCAGACUCCUACGGGAGGCAGCAGUGGGGAAUUUUGGACAAUGGGGGCAACCCUGAUCCAGCCAUGCCGCGUGAGUGAAGAAGGCCUUCGGGUUGUAAAGCUCUUUCGGCCGGGAAGAAAUCGCAUGGGCUAUACCCUGUGUGGAUGACGGUACCGGAAUAAGAAGCACCGGCUAACUACGUGCCAGCAGCCGCGGUAAUACGUAGGGUGCGAGCGUUAAUCGGAAUUACUGGGCGUAAAGCGUGCGCAGGCGGUUUUGUAAGGCAGGCGUGAAAUCCCCGGGCUUAACCCGGGAACUGCGCUUGUGACUGCAAGGCUAGAGUACGGCAGAGGGGGGUGGAAUUCCACGUGUAGCAGUGAAAUGCGUAGAGAUGUGGAGGAACACCAAUGGCGAAGGCAGCCCCCUGGGUCGAUACUGACGCUCAUGCACGAAAGCGUGGGUAGCAAACAGGAUUAGAUACCC
rnacentral:rRNA from 1 species